GUGUCAGCAACACAAAUACUAAAAUUUGAGCAGCACAGAGAAAAUUUGCAUAGCACCUAUUCAAGGAUGAUACACAAAUUUGUGAAACAUUCCAUAUUUUU
ensembl:snRNA U6 U6 spliceosomal RNA